rnacentral:lncRNA from 1 species
GAUCGGCUUAUCAGAUUGCAGUCCUCUGUAUUUUUACAAGAUAUCGCCAGGUGGUAAAAAAAAUACUUUGUAUUGUACGGAAGACCACGCACAUCUGAAGCCGUAUAUUUUAUUUGCCCACGCAUUCGCUGGAUGUGACACGAGUGCCAUGUACGGAAAAGGAAAGAAGAGCGUCAUCUCCAUUCUGCAAAAGAAUAACCAUCUGCAGACUGCUGUAAAAAUGUUCUACAACGCUGCGAGUACAAUGGAGAGUCUGUGUGAAUGUGCAGAACAAAUAAUUGCACAUUUAUACAGCUUCAAAAAUCCAAAUCAGUCGCUCAGUGAUGCUCGGUACGAAAAAUUUACAUCGCUGGUCGUGCACAUCAACGUGGAUAUUCGAUUGGCGGCUUUACCUCCAACGCAACUCGUCCUGCGAGAAGACGUGAGACGCACAUUCUAUCAAGUGCAAUCGUGGUUGGGAAACAACUUGAAUGCACGGGAUUGGGGCUGGAAGCGAACUACAACAAUGAUGGUUCCUGUCAUGAAUACUGAGUUCAGCGCCUGAUAAUUUGUUGAAAAUGGUACAGUGUGUGUGCACGGGAGAGUGCAAGACUUUUCGAUGCAGCUGCCAAAAAACUGGGCUGCUUUGUACUCAAAUGUGCAAAUACUGUGGAGGACAAUCGUGCUCCAACUUUUCAAUCAGCACAGACAAGGAUUUAGCAGAGAUUCCAGCAGAAAAAAAACACGAGGAUGACGAGGAUAUCGCUAGAAAUAAAUUUCUCGAUAUAGUCGAAGAAUUGGACCCCGAGGUUUCUGAUUACGAGGAAUUUUACGAGAAUGAGCAGGAAGACGAUGUAGAAAUCGAAUACCCUUUAGAAGCGAUGUAGAUAAAUAAUUAGAUUUCGUGUUUCAUAAAAA